UCCUGGAGGACGUCGCCCAGCGGAUGGGGAAUGGGAGCAGCCAGGGGGCCGCAGGGCUCCGGGAAGGACACCGGGUUGUCCCAUCCCACCUCCACCAGGAGCAGGAAAGACCUCGGGAUGUUCAUCCCCGGCGAGGGAAUGACCUGCUCCUCCAGCAGGUGAUGGAGAAGCUGCAGAGGCUCAACCAGAGC